GGAAAUGAUAUGAAGAGACAAAGAAUGAAGAAAGAACAAAAAGAAACAAAGAGACAAAAACAGCAAAGAAAGUCAACGACAGAAGAAAGAACAAGAACUUGAACAUUUAGAGAAAAACAGACGACAACAGUUCUUUAGAUUUAGAGAGAAACUGUCUGUCUGUGUGUCUGUCUGUCUGUCUGUCUGUCGUCUCUCAUGUAUAAUGGUGUUGGUUCAGGCAGAGUAGAUAAUAAUUGUAUCAGUUUAUUAAGGCUGUGAAAAUGUUCAUGCUGGUUGUGAACACCAACAAUCACUGUAAUGAGCAGGUUUAUUACAGAUUACAUGUGAAUGAAAGAAUCAAUCAACAUCCACAUUUUAUGUCUCCAUACAGGGUCAGAGAGACCUCAGUACUGGCUGCGUGAUCUCAUGUGACCAUGGCUGGUCUCAGAGCAGUUCAGUGAGGAACUUCAGACUUGGAGGGUUCUGGAGAUAUGUCUUCUGUUCCCUUUCAUCUCAUUUGAGCUUUUUUCUCUGCAAUAAAUUACAAAUAUCAGAGCAAAUAUUCAAUAUUAAGCAAACAUGAAUAUCAUUUAACCUGCUCAUCAUAUUAAUCAAAAUGUUAAAGAAUAACUUUAGCGAUUAAUGUUUUGACGCUUCUUUUUGUUACAUGGCCAAUAGAAAUAGGUGCUUCAUGAGUAAUUACAUCAACUUAAGACAUAAUUCAGAUAAAUCCUUAAUCAUAUCUUCUUAUGUUUGAUCUUUGAUUUCUUUUUGUUCGUCAUUAUAAAAGAUGAAUAAAGUCUUUCCCAGUUCAAUGUGACUGUUAUUACAUGCUGACAAACUCUUCACACAAACUGAUAAAACAGAACAGAGGUUAUUUGUAGUAGUAACAGUAGUAGCAGUAGUAGUAUCAGUAAUAUCAUAUUUUAGAGUGUACAUAUUUUCAGUAUGAGAUCCGAUGCUGCUGAAUUGAUCUUUAUAUUACAAUGAGUUCUUCAUAAGUGUAUAAAUACACGUCUUUAUUAACACAAUAUUAUGUUUAUAACAAAUAUUGUGUUAUUGUCAAGUGUUUUACUUCUUUGCUGUGCUAAUUCCACACUUGAAAGGUAAUACCAAUACUGAACACUAAAACUGGAAUUCACUCAAUAACCAGGCCUUUGUUCCAUCUUUUUAUUUUUUCCUUCAGUCUUUGUGGCCCAGAUAUUUACAACAGGUGUAGGUAGCAGGUGAAAAACCUUAAAAAGACAAACAAAACCAUCCAUUUACCAAUUUGCAAAAUUUUUUGUAAAACAGUUACACAAGACUCAAAUGAUCAUCAAAAGCUUAACAUUAAAUACAUGUAUAUGAAAAUAGCUAGCUGACAAAUAGAUUUUAAGUUAAGGCAGAUUUGAACUGAAUUGUUUUAAUGUAAAUGCAUCAAAAUAUAAAAUACAUUUUUGACCACGGGAUGCAUAAUGAAUUAAGCAGGUUACUAAAGCCAAUAAACAAACAGCUAGCAAACUAACCAGCAAGUUUUACCACAAUUUUAAAUAUACAUAUUCACAAACAUAUCCAUUAUGAAAUUACGUUUUAGCAAUGAAAUACUUUUAGUUUGUUUUAAACACGUGCUGUUUCAAGUAUAAAGAUGCACAUGUCUUCACUGGCACCCAAUAAUUCAGCACAGGAAUAUCUACGCAUCGAACCACAUCUAAACUGGGCCAUUUCAAACGCGAGAUCACGCAAGUUGCCACAACAUUUAGCAGACCAAACAAAGCCAGUUACAAUAACCCUUACCAGCCAACAUCUACACACCGCGUGGAUCUUUACAAACUUAAGACAAACACAAACAUUUUCCCCGCGUCUCAGUGCCCCAUCAGCGCACCAGCAGUACCUCGCAUUCACAACAAAGAGGAAUAAACACGAUCUUACCAGCUGUCUGUUCAGGUCUUGAUUUUGGUAUCAACUUCAGCACAGCUCGACAGGAUGCUCGGCAAGAAUACACAAGUUUUGUGUUUCGCGCUGCAGCAGUAUUUUUGCCGGUUCAGUCCUCGCUCACAACCAGGAAGUGAGUCUUUCCCGCUCUUUUCCGCUUUAUCGCACAUAGGUGAGUAAUCAACACGCUCGUGCUCGCAUACCAAGAAGGGGACGUUCCCCGCAACAGUUACUGUGCUAUUAACUCUUAUACAUAACUAAUAUAUUAUGUGCACAGUGUUUUAUUAAAUGAGAAAAGUGAAGUAAAAUAAAUGAAGUGGUCGCUCUGCAAUAAGAGAGCCAACGAUGAACAUCUAGUUCAAAGAGAAAUGAUGGGUGAUUGCUUACUUUAAUCAAAUGUUGAAUAAUUCUCAGCACACAAAAAUCAAACGUUCAGAGUCAAAGAGAAAACAACAGGAAGGAACAAACACUUAAAGACUCUUGUGGGUGACAGUGGUACAGCAGGUGGAGUGGGUUGUACAUUAAUCAUGGGGGUUCGAUCCCAGGCUGCUCCUGGUCAUGUCACUGAACUUGUCAGCUGUUUGCAUGGUUGUGUUCCUGUUAUUGUGUCCACCCCCUGUAUAACCACAGUCACCAUAUUUCAGUUGAUGUUUGAUGUAGGAGAAAACUGUUUUGUUCCAAUCUCCAAGUCUACCUUCAGACAUGAUGUUAGACCCAAUCUAAUAAAAAGACUGCUGUAAUGAUGUGGCUUACUAAAGACACUGAUACAUUGUGGGUGGAUAGAACAAAGCUGUCAAAAUGUGCCUCUACAGCAGGGCUAUUGAAUUCAUUUUGAACUGGGGCCAGUUCAUGAAUCUGAGGCAAAAUAAGGGGCCGGAGAAUAUGAGUAAUCACGGUAGCAAAGAAAUGACAACAACAUACUGAAGGAGUCAGUAAUGCAACAUAUGUACAUAAAUCCACACAUGGACUACUACUGUACUAACUGUUAUCAUAAAGACACCAACAAUCAGUCUAGGUCAGCCAUAUCACAUAUAUUUAAGACCUGUAUAAUCUAAUGCAAUCCAAUACACCAGUGAGUUUAUCAUUAAUUUCACUUGGCGACUUGACAAUAAAACAUAGUCACUGUAAUAAAAACAGACCUUUGAUUGGUGAUUUGGCUGAGAAAUAAAAUAAUAAACUGAUACUACUCUGACUGCAGGUUAAUGUUCAUACAGUGUUGAGAUCCAAACUGUUUGCUGCAGUAACGCAGAUUUCAUCUUUUGAAAAGUAAUGCAUAAAUAAAAACCUGCAGCUCACCUUAGAACACAUGUUGUUUCUGAUUGAAUGUGAAUUCAUUCCUUUGGUACUUUUGAACAACAUUUCUAACCAUAACACCUUUGAAGCAAACAUACAGGUGUCAUAAUCCAAUAAAACCGGCUUCAGUUUGUCAUUCAGUAUCGGCCAUGUUGUCCUGUUGCUGAGUUUAAACUGAUAUUAGAGUUUAACUCUGAAACCAUGAAGAACAUUCAGAGCCAUGAUUCUCUUAAUGAAUGUCAGAUGACAAACAAUGAAUUUAACAAAAACUGAACAGGUUCUGAAACUUGAGAAACAUUUUCAGAGAGAAACUUCAUCUCCUUCUAAAGUGUUUAUCUAACAGUCAAACUGCAGGUCAAAGGUCUGAUUUACUGAGUCACUGUGUGCUGCUGUCAUGUUCAGGUGGAUCAGAUUUAUACAAGUGGAGCAGAAAAGAUCAAGAUGUACUGCACGUCAGUAUUCAUAUUAAUUUGACAUAUUCUCAUUCUCAUUUGUAUCAUUACUAGUUUACAUUAUUUCCAACCAAUUUCAAAAACCAUGUAAUCAUUUUUCUUGUUUUCAUCUUUUUUCCUUUUCACUGAAUAACUGUGGUGCUUCAUGUUUUAUAUAACAAAUAUAAAAAUGAUAGAACUCGAGCAAAACUAAAAGCAGAGACAUAUUUAUUACAAGUUCUCACAUUUUUAAACCCAACUGGACGUCAUCUGUCCUUCUGAAGUUCAUCAACAAGUCCUCACAUCUACACUACAAAUCAAGGUUUGAGUCUUUAGAAGGACAAAAACAAAUCAUAGGACUGACUUCUGACAGACAGCUACAACUACUUGGUCUGAUGUUUGCACUGAGCUGACUUAAGUCUAGCCCUGUCCCCUGUUGAUGCUUUAAUGUCCACUGUCAUAAUUUGACUUAACUGUGUUGAUUUGUUUGUUUUAGAAUCUAAUAUCGUUUUUAAUAUUCUAUGUGUGUCUUACUGAAGCAAAGUGUUCAAAAGUGUUCUAUAAAUAAAAUGUAUUAUAAAUAAACAUGAAAUUUAAAUGUAUUCGUCAUAGUUUGCAAUGUCUGUGUAUGUGUUAGGACAACUGAAAGUCGUCAUCUCAGGUGAGUUCAGGUACACAUAUCUCUGUGAAGGUCGUAAUGAACAAAGAGGGUGUUUCUUGGCCACGUAUGAUUAUAGUUCAGAUCAACGUCAUAGUUAUACUAUCCAAGAUUUCUUGUUUCGUCCUGACACACCUUCUGUCUCUUUGCUCUCAGUUAUCAAAGUUCUCUCUAUGAAGUUGGUACAUUCUUUAUUGGAGGGAAAAUGAAGUAGCAACAAUUUCUGACUGGUGAUCAAAUGGACCAGAUCAGAUGUAACUGCCACGAUAACUUCAGUGACUGAAAGGAAUCUACUUUAUUCUCACUUUAACAAAUAAGAAACACGAUGGAGGUCAGACGGGUCGGAACAAGAGCACCAACUUCAGAUGAUGUGCAGCCCCUGAAGCGCAGCAGCAGUUAUGAACUUCUGCCACCUUUAAUGUCUGAGCUGAGGGUUGUUCUUCUGGGGAACAGCUGGCCUCAGAGGAGUUCAGUGGGGAACUUCAUAAUGGGACAGACUGUGUUCAACCCUCAGAAAGAACUAGACUACUUUCAGAAAAUCAGUGGACCAUUGGAGAAGAAAAAAAUAGUUCUCAUCAACACCCCAGAUCUGCUGCAUCCAGACAUCUCUGAAGACAAACUGACAGAACAUGUGAAAACCUGUGAGAGACUCUCUGAUCCUGGACCUCAUGUGUUCCUGCUGGUUCUACAGCCUGAAGACUUCACUGAGGAACACAAACUGAAGCUCUGCAGAGUCCUUCAACUCUUCAGUGAUCAAUCAUUUGAACAUUCACUGAUUCUGAUAUCAACACCCAGAGAGGAGAGUCCAAGAUUCAUGGAAAAAUACAUGGAACACCGUCCAUUAAAAGACAUGAUCAGAAAAUGUCACUACAGGUUUUUGUGGCAGAAGAAUCUUGAACUUCCAGAGCUGUUAACACAUUUGGGUCAAAUUGUAAAGGAGAACAAUGGAGAGCACGUCAGCUGUGAUGUGUUUGAGGACGCAACAUCGACUUUACCAGGAGAUCAUCAGAGACCAAAACAACAGGAAACACAGACUUCUAUAAUGGGUGCUGUUAAAUCUGCUGGUAAGUGUAGAAACAAUUCUGACUUUGUUCACAUGAAUCUUCUUUCACUAAAUUAGAACAUGACGUGGCAAACUAAUGAUGUCAUCUUUUUACAGGAAUCAGUGGACGACGCUCAGAGAAAAACCCUUUGACUGACACAUCUGGAUUCAGGAUUGUGCUGCUGGGAAAAAGUGAAGACAAACAGUCAAAACUUGGUAACUUCAUCAUCAAGGACCAGACUUCUCAUUAUCUUCCCUUUAAAUCUUCUCCAACCAGAAAAUGUGUGG